rnacentral:sRNA from 1 species
GCCAGGCAUGGUGGUGCAUGCCUGUAAUCCCAGCUACUUGGGAGGCUGAGGCGGGAGAAUCACUUGGACCCAGGAGGCGAAGGCUGAAGCCAGUUAAGAUCGUGCCACUGCACUCCAGCCUGGGUGACAGAGACUCCAUCUCAAAAAAAAAAGGUCAGGCGCAGGGGCUCAUGCCUGUAAUCGUAGCACUUUGGGAUGCUGAGGCGAGUGGAUUGCCUAAGCUCAGGAGUUUGAGACCAGCCUGGGUAACACGGUGAAACCCCGUUUCU